CCUUACCGUACAUAGGAUCUAUCCAGACAUGCGUGACCGGUAAUGGUCGGGUGUGAAGCUCUGGAGAUAUUGCGCCUCCCGAUUAGCGGUUCAUCCUGGUGACGGGGAAGGAAUCGACACUGCGAGCCGCCGUGCGGGGUGAGG
rnacentral:ncRNA from 1 species